AAAUUGAAGAGUUUGAUCAUGGCUCAGAUUGAACGCUGGCGGCAGGCCUAACACAUGCAAGUCGAACGGUAACAGAAAGCAGCUUGCUGCUUUGCUGACGAGUGGCGGACGGGUGAGUAAUGUCUGGGAAACUGCCUG
rnacentral:rRNA from 1 species